rnacentral:rRNA from 1 species
UACGGGGGAAGCAAGCGUUGUUCGGAUUUACUGGGCGUAAAGGGCGCGUAGGCGGCCACCGCAAGUCGACUGUGAAAUCUCCGGGCUUAACUCGGAAACUGCCUUGGAUACUAUCCGGCUGGAGGGUUGGAGGGGGGACUGGAAUUCUCGGUGUAGCAGUGAAAUGCGUAGAUAUCGAGAGGAACACCAGUGGCGAAGGCGAGUCCCUGGACAACUCCUGACACUGAGGCACGAAAGCUAGGGGAGCAAACAGG